UCUGGACAAAUUCCUUUCCCUCUAUCAAUACGUUUUAUUUUUUCACGGAGGGGAGGGGACUCAUUUUGCCAAGAAUUUAUUGUGCAUCGUUUCUGAUUCAGCAGGUCUACCGUCGAAACCAGGAAUUAGCAGCUUUAACAAGUGCCACAAGUGAUCGGAUGCCGGUGGUCCCAGGACCACACCUCGAGAAAGCCCCGCAGAGAGAUGAGUGCAUGGAAAGAGCCAACUGAGAGGUGAAGCUUAAACAAAUGUGAGGCAGAAAAAUGUAUUAAUGCGGCACUAAUGAGAAGACGGAAUCAAACUCCCUGCAAAUACACACACA